CUCUUCCUCCCGAGCCUUUGCGGCGGAGCUUCGGUCGCGUUGAGCCGCGCCUCCUCUUCCUCCUCCACGCUGCCCUCGACAGGCCGCGCCACUUCCUGGGGUGCGAAGGGACUCGGGUGCGAGCCUGGGCCUGCAGCGCGGCGGCGGAGAGAACGGAGAGGACAGCUGGCGGGUGGUUAUCUGGAGUGGUUUGGGGCCGCGGCGGCGUUCUGGCCAGUGGGCCUUGGUGGGCUAGGAAGAGAGGCAGAAAAAGGUUACCCAGGAAACGGGCUUCGACGCCGGGCGAGGAGUGGCACGUUCGAAACCCCCUCCCUAACUCAGCCCGGCUGGACCCCGCUGCUUAACGGGGGGUCCUGCGGCAAAGAAAGUGGACGGGUUGCCACUUCUGUGCCUCCCCAUCAGGGGUUGGGAAACUAGUUUCCAUGGCCAAACCUAGCCCACCGUCUGUUUUGUUUCCUGUUCUUCCCAACCUGCGCUAUGGACUUCAUCAGAUUUCAGCAUCAGAGAGAAUAUGGAAGGACAUCGACCCUAACUUCAUCCAGUGAGGAUUUCCACACACCAUACACUCUCUGAGAGUUCUCUUGGCUUUGUGUGCACACCUCCAGUGACAGGGAGCUCGCUAUGUCAUGAGGCAGCCUGCUCCCUUGUGGCUAUCACUGAACCAACUAUUAAGCCUUCUUAUACAAACAGUCCCUGACUUACUGUUAGACUUACAACUUUUUGAUUUUACAGUGGUGCAAAAGCAAUAUGCAUUCCAUAGAAACUGUAUUUCAAAUUUUGAAUUUUGAUCUUUUCCAGGCUAGCAACAUAUGAAGACCAACCUUCUAUUUUUAAAAUAGGCUUUGUGUUAGAUGCUUUUGCCCAACUAUAGGUUAAUGUAAAUGUUCUGAGAAUAUUUGAGGAAGGCUAGGCUAAACUGUGAUCUUUGGGAGCUUAGAUAUGUUAAGUGCAUUUUCAACUUACAAUAUUUUCAACUUACGAUGAGUUUAUUGGGAUGAAGCCCGUUGUAAGUAAAGGAGCAUCUGCAUUAAGCUAAAAUCCAUGUCUAUAACUUCCUCAGUAAUAUCAAGUUUGUUCCUUGGAGCCAGAGAAUAAACUGAAUCCUUUUCCACGUGAUGGUCUUUCUGUUGUUUAAAGAGAUCAGCCAUGUACCUUCUCCCAACCUGAAGACAACUCCUCACCAGGCUACCUAUCAAUUCUACCUCUUUUUUUAAGAGAUGGGGUCUCACUAUGUUGCCCAGCCUGGUCUUGAACUCUGGGCUCAAGUGAUCCUCCCACCUCAGCCUUCCGAGUAGCCAGGAUUACAGGCACACACCACCAUGCCCAGCUCCAUUUCCAUUGUUCUUCAUGCUUCCUUAUUGAGUUCCUUCC
rnacentral:lncRNA from 1 species